rnacentral:rRNA from 1 species
UACGUAGGUGGCAAGCGUUGUCCGGAUUUACUGGGCGUAAAGAGCGCGCAGGCGGUCGUCCAAGUCGCGUGUGAAAGCCCCCGGCUCAACUGGGGAGGGUCACGCGAUACUGGUCGACUCGAAGGCAGGAGAGGGUAGUGGAAUUCCCGGUGUAGUGGUGGAAUGCGCAGAUAUCAGGAGGAACACCGGUGGCGAAGGCGGGUCUCUGGGCAGUAACUGACGCUGAGGAGCGAAAGCGUGGGGAGCGAACAGG